GUUUGUUUUUCAGUUAUUGAGGCUUUCUGC
rnacentral:piRNA from 1 species